rnacentral:rRNA from 1 species
AGUCCUACGGGACGCAGCAGUGGGGAAUAUUGCACAAUGGGGGAAACCCUGAUGCAGCGACGCCGCGUGAGUGAAGAAGUAUCUCGGUAUGUAAAGCUCUAUCAGCAGGAAAGAUAAUGACGGUACCUGACUAAGAAGCCCCGGCUAACUACGUGCCAGCAGCCGCGGUAAUACGUAGGGGGCAAGCGUUAUCCGGAUUUACUGGGUGUAAAGGGAGCGUAGACGGCAGCGCAAGUCUGGAGUGAAAUGCCG